rnacentral:tRNA from 1 species
CUNGGUGUGGUGAAGUGGUUAACACACCAGAUUGUGGCUCUGGCAUGCGUGGGUUCGAUCCCCAUCACUCGCC